CGUUUAGUAUUUGGUCGUAGACCCGAAACCAGGUGAUCUACCCUUGGUCAGGUUGAAGUUCAGGUAACACUGAAUGGAGGACCGAACCGACUUACGUUGAAAAGUGAGCGGAUGAACUGAGGGUAGCGGAGAAAUUCCAAUCGAACCUGGAGAUAGCUGGUUCUCUCCGAAAUAGCUUUAGGGCUAGCCUCAAGUGAUGAUUAUUGGAGGUAGAGCACUGUUUGGACGAGGGGCCCCUCUCGGGUUACCGAAUUCAGACAAACUCCGAAUGCCAAUUAAUUUAACUUGGGAGUCAGAACAUGGGUGAUAAGGUCCGUGUUCGAAAGGGAAACAGCCCAGACCACCAGCUAAGGUCCCAAAAUAUAUGUUAAGUGGAAAAGGAUGUGGCGUUGCCCAGACAACUAGGAUGUUGGCUUAGAAGCAGCCAUCAUUUAAAGAGUGCGUAAUAGCUCACUAGUCGAGUGACACUGCGCCGAAAAUGUACCGGGGCUAAACAUAUUACCGAAGCUGUGGAUUGUCCUUUGGACAAUGGUAGGAGAGCGUUCUAAGGGCGUUGAAGCAUGAUCGUAAGGACAUGUGGAGCGCUUAGAAGUGAGAAUGCCGGUGUGAGUAGCGAAAGACGGGUGAGAAUCCCGUCCACCGAUUGACUAAGGUUUCCAGAGGAAGGCUCGUCCGCUCUGGGUUAGUCGGGUCCUAAGCUGAGGCCGACAGGCGUAGGCGAUGGAUAACAGGUUGAUAUUCCUGUACCACCUAUAAUCGUUUUAAUCGAUGGGGGGACGCAGUAGGAUAGGCGAAGCGUGCGAUUGGAUUGCACGUCUAAGCAGUAAGGCUGAGUAUUAGGCAAAUCCGGUACUCGUUAAGGCUGAGC
rnacentral:rRNA from 1 species